rnacentral:misc_RNA from 1 species
GGAAAUAAAAGUCGUAACAAGGCUUCCGUAGGUGAACCUGCGGAAGGAUCAUUAACAAAUCCUGAAAUUGUUUAUGUGAAUGGUGGAAUAUAAUUGUAUUAUUUCAUUUGAACAAAAAGGAAUCAUUUGUAUUUCUUUUUCAUUUGAUAAUCAUGUAAUAUGUAUUCUCUCUUAUCAUAUAAACAAUUACAUACGUUCCAUGUCACAAUUCAUUUUGUACAUGAUAACACAUUUCUACGAAUCAUCUGAUUGUCAAUAUCAUUAAUUUAUUUAAAGACUUUUAACAAUGGAUCUCUAGGCUCUU